rnacentral:rRNA from 1 species
AUUGAACGCUGGCGGCAGGCCUAACACAUGCAAGUCGAACGAGUGGCGGACGGGUGAGUCAUGUCUGGGAAACUGCCCGAUGGAGGGGGAUAACUACUGGAAACGGUAGCUAAUACCGCAUACCAUCGGAUGUGCCCAGAUGGGAUUAGCUAGUAGGUGGGGUAACGGCUCACCUAGGCGACGAUCCCUAGCUGGUCUGAGAGGAUGACAAGCAACACUGUAACUGGGACACGGUCCAGACUCCUACGGUGGGCAGCAGUGGGAAAUAUUGCACAAUGGGCGCAAGCCUGAUGCAGCCAUGCGGCGUGUAUGAAGAAGGCCUUCGGGUGGUAAAGUACUUUCAGAGAGGAGACGUUACUCACAGAAGAAGCACCGGCUAACUACGUGCCAGCAGCCGCGGUAAUAC